rnacentral:rRNA from 1 species
GACAGAGGGUGCAAACGUUGUUCGGAAUUACUGGGCGUAAAGCGCGUGUAGGCUGCUUCGAAAGUCGGAUGUGAAAGCCCUGGGCUCAACCUAGGAAGUGCAUUCGAAACUUCGAAGCUGGAGUCCUGGAGAGGAAGGCGGAAUUCUCGGUGUAGAGGUGAAAUUCGUAGAUAUCGAGAGGAACACCGGUGGCGAAGGCGGCCUUCUGGACAGUGACUGACGCUGAGACGCGAAAGCGUGGGGAGCAAGCAGG